rnacentral:rRNA from 1 species
UACGGGGGGGGCAAGCGUUGUUCGGAAUUACUGGGCGUAAAGGGCUCGUAGGCGGCCAACUAAGUCGGACGUGAAAUCCCCAGGCUCAACCUGGGAACUGCGUCUGAUACUGGAUGGCUUGAAUCCGGGAGAGGGAUGCAGAAUUCCAGGUGUAGCGGUGAAAUGCGUAGAUAUCUGGAGGAACACCGGUGGCGAAGGCGGCAUCCUGGACCGACACUGACGCUGAGGAGCGAAAGCCAGGGGAGCAAACGGG